rnacentral:rRNA from 1 species
GGGUUGUGAGGUUAAGCGACUAAGCGUACACGGUGGAUGCCCUGGCAGUCAGAGGCGAUGAAGGACGUGCUAAUCUGCGAUAAGCGUCGGUAAGGUGAUAUGAACCGUUAUAACCGGCGAUUUCCGAAUGGGGAAACCCAGUGUGAUUCGUCACACUAUCAUUAACUGAAUCCAUAGGUUAAUGAGGCGAACCGGGGGAACUGAAACAUCUAAGUACCCCGAGGAAAAGAAAUCAACCGAGAUUCCCCCAGUAGCGGCGAGCGAACGGGGAGGAGCCCAGAGCCUGAAUCAGUGUGUGUGUUAGUGGAAGCGUCUGGAAAGGCGCGCGAUACAGGGUGACAGCCCCGUACACAAAAAUGCACAUGCUGUGAGCUCGAUGAGUAGGGCGGGACACGUGGUAUCCUGUCUGAAUAUGGGGGGACCAUCCUCCAAGGCUAAAUACUCCUGACUGACCGAUAGUGAACCAGUACCGUGAGGGAAAGGCGAAAAGAACCCCGGCGAGGGGAGUGAAAAAGAACCUGAAACCGUGUACGUACAAGCAGUGGGAGCCUCUUUAUGGGGUGACUGCGUACCUUUUGUAUAAUGGGUCAGCGACUUAUAUUCUGUAGCAAGGUUAACCGAAUAGGGGAGCCGAAGGGAAACCGAGUCUUAACUGGGCGUUAAGUUGCAGGGUAUAGACCCGAAACCCGGUGAUCUAGCCAUGGGCAGGUUGAAGGUUGGGUAACACUAACUGGAGGACCGAACCGACUAAUGUUGAAAAAUUAGCGGAUGACUUGUGGCUGGGGGUGAAAGGCCAAUCAAACCGGGAGAUAGCUGGUUCUCCCCGAAAGCUAUUUAGGUAGCGCCUCGUGAAUUCAUCUCCGGGGGUAGAGCACUGUUUCGGCAAGGGGGUCAUCCCGACUUACCAACCCGAUGCAAACUGCGAAUACCGGAGAAUGUUAUCACGGGAGACACACGGCGGGUGCUAACGUCCGUCGUGAAGAGGGAAACAACCCAGACCGCCAGCUAAGGUCCCAAAGUCAUGGUUAAGUGGGAAACG